CCUACGGGGGGCAGCAGUGAGGAAUAUUGGUCAAUGGGCGCGAGCCUGAACCAGCCAAGUCGCGUGAAGGAUGACUGCCCUACGGGUUGUAAACUUCUUUUAUAAAGGAAUAAAGUGAGGCACGUGUGCCUUUUUGUAUGUACUUUAUGAAUAAGGAUCGGCUAACUACGUGCCAGCAGCCGCGGUAAUACGGAGGAGUCGAGCGUUAUCCGGAUUUAUUGGGUUUAAAGGGAGCGUAGAUGGGUUGUUAAGUCAGUUGUGAAAGUUUGCGGCUCAACCGUGAAAUUGCAAUUGAUACUGGCAGGCUUGAGUACAGUUGAGGUAGGCGGAAUUCGUGGUGUAGCGGUGAAAUGCUUAGAGAUCACGAAGAACACCGAUUGCGAAGGCAGCUUACUAAACUGCCACUGACAUUGAUGCUCGAAAGUGUGGGUAUCAAACAGGAUUAGAUACCCCAGUAGUC
rnacentral:rRNA from 1 species